GUGAACCAACAAUUGAUCUACCGAAUGAACUAUAUCAAGAGGAAUCUCCACAUGUAGUCCCCGAUACUGAGGAUAUUCGUGUCAACAACCAACACGUUCCGGCUAUCAUAGGUUACCUUCCAAUUACACCAUCUGAACUGAACUCGCAACAACGUCGCAACCCCGGCCCCAAUCAUGAUGACGACGGCUUCAUAGAUGACGAAUACAUAGAGGAUGAUGAGUAUUCUGACCAAACUGAGAAGGAUGAUGAUUCGGACGACUCAAAUUAUCAUGAGUACGAUUAAUAUUAUACUUGUUCCAUAUUAUUGUGGAUUUCGAUCGGUCUAAUCUGCUUGUAUUAAUUAAUUUGGCAUAACUUCGGAUAUGUAUUUUCAAAUUAACUUGAUGCUUAGAUAUCAUUCAUGAAGGCUGGCUAUUUUUAAUUUCUACGUACUUACGUAUAUAAGCGCAUGCUUGAUGAAUUCGAAUUAUUGUGUAUACGUACGUGUAAUUUUUAAAAUGCAUAUGUACGUAUGCGUUUUUCUAUAAGAAUAAAUUUUUAUGUAACUUAGGUGACGGAAUUUAAUAAUUCGUCGCCUUAGUACUUCCAAGGUGACGGAAUUUGACCAUUUCGUCGGUUUAGUAUUAUUAAGGCGACGGAACGUGGUUGUUUCCGUCGCCUAGAAUCCCGAAAUAUUAGGCGGGGGAAUUUUGCGCCAUUUUUUUGGGGCCAAAAUUUAAUUUUUUAGGCGACGAAUAAAUUUCUUAGCCGACAAAAUAUUCCAUCGGUUAAGACUUAGGCGACGGAAAUUGGAGUGGUCGUCGCCUUAGUUUUACUAAGCCGACGGAAGUAAUCUUGUUCCGUCGGCUAAGAUAAAUACAAACUCUUUUUCUGAGACAGGUCCUAAAAUCCAAACUCAUAAACACACUCUCACAUAAACCGAUCCCUAAAACCCGACUAAGGUCCUCCCAGAGCUGCGCGACCCGACCGGAAUCCACCGCCUCCACCCAUCGGAGACCCCGCCAUCCACCCAUCGACGACCGCAUCGACGCCACCCACCUCCUCCGAUCUCGCUACACAGUCCUUCUGUCUCCGAUCUCGCCACCCAGCAAACCCAAUUU
rnacentral:lncRNA from 1 species